rnacentral:sRNA from 1 species
UCAAAUUGUUGUGCCAGACUUUGUCGAAC